rnacentral:misc_RNA from 1 species
GUUCACGUCCCUUUUCUUCUUCAUUGUCGUCGUCAUCCAUCGUCGUCGGACGCGGCCUCCAUUUGCCCGAUCGCCCUCUCGCUCCUACAUAAAACGACUGGGGCAACGUUCACUUCCAUUCCACGACGUCUUAGCCGAGAGCUCACAACCACCCACCGCGCAUCACCCCUCUCUACCUGGCCAGGCUCCAGUUCCACCACCGCACUCCGUCCGUCCGUACCAUGGCCGACCGCGUCCACCCGGCGCCUCCGCCUCUGCCGCUCUCCUCCACGCCGCCGCAGCACCCUCCGACGACGGAGACGACGCCUCUGCAGCAGCACCCGUCCUUCGCCCGCCCGCCGCCGCCGCCGCCGGGGACGUACAUCGUGCAGGUGCCCAAGGACCAGGUGCUGCGCGUGCCGCCGCCGGACCGCGCGCGCCGGUACAAGAAGCUCGCGGCGCGCCCCGCGCGGCGCCGCGCGCUCCGCCGCGCCUGCUGCUGCGCCUGCGCCGCCGCGAUCCUGGCCGUGCUCGUCGCCGCCGCCUUCGCCGGCGCCGUCUACCUCGCCUACCGCCCGCGCGCGCCGACCUUCUCCGUCACUUCCCUUUCCAUCCGCGGCCUCGACGCCGCCUCCCUCUUGCGCUCCUCCUCCUCCUCCUCAGAGACGCUCUCGCCUCGGCUCGACGCCGCCGUGCGCGCGGACAACGGGCGCAACGCGAAGGUGGGCGUGGAGUACCGCGGCAGCGGGUCCGUCGCCGUGUCCUACUCCGGCGCAAGGCUCGCCGCGGGGCCGUGGCCCGCGUUCCGCCAGCCGCCGAGGAACGUGACGGCGUUCGCGGUCGCCAUGAGCGGGCGCGGCGUGCGGCUCACGGAGGACCAGGCGACGCGGAUCGCCGCCGAGCAGGCCGCCGGCGCCGUGCCGCUGCAGGUGGAGACCACGGUGCCCGUGCGGCUGCGCUUCGGCUCGGUGCUGCGGACAUGGACCGUCCCCGUCAGGGCGCGCUGCGACGUGUCCGUCGACAGGCUCGACGGCGACGCCGUCGUUGUAAACCGCGGGUGCAGGGUCAGGGUCAGGCCGCUCUGGUGGUGGUGGUGAUUUCAGUGGUGGCCGCCGCCGCGACGCCGCUCCGCUCGCCGGCUGUCGUGUCCUGUGUCCACUGUCCACACGGGCGUUUGGCCGUUGCCUGAACCCGUUCGAACGGCUAGUGAUCAGUUACUGCUCCUGCUGCACUUAGUGGCAGCAACGGUGCUUUGACCACGCUUACUUGUUUACUGCUUACUGCUAGUAUUUACCAGUAAUGUGGUACUUGCUUGUGAAGAAUUAUUUUUUGGGUGUAUUUAAUUUGGAUUUCACAUGUCUUAUGUUGUAUACAAAUGAGGACCAAUAGCACGGUUGUUAUUACUGGUUGUUGCUUUCCCGUGAGAUCAUC